UACGUAGGGUGCAAGCGUUGUCCGGAAUUAUUGGGCGUAAAGAGCUCGUAGGCGGUCUGUUGCGUCGGCUGUGAAAACCCGGGGCUCAACUCCGGGCCUGCAGCCGAUACGGGCAGACUAGAGUUCGGCAGGGGAGACUGGAAUACUUGGUGUAGCAGUGAAAUGCGUAGAUAUCAAGUGGAACACCAGUGGCGAAGGCGAGUCUCUGGACAUUUCCUGACGCUGAGGCACGAAAGCCAGGGGAGCAAACGGG
rnacentral:rRNA from 1 species